rnacentral:SRP_RNA from 1 species
GCCGGGCGUGGUGGCGGGUGCCUGUAGUCCCAGCUACUUGGGAGGCUGAGGCAGGAGAAUGGCAUGAACCCAGGAGGUGGAGCUUGCAGUGAGCUGAGAUCGUGCCACUGCACUCCAGCCUGGGUGACAAAGCAAGAUUCUGUCUCAA